AUAGAGCAAGAAACCUUUUAACGUAAAAAUACCAAGACAACUAUAAAAAAGAUUUCUCAGAGUAAGCAUUCAAUUGUGCAAAUAGUCGCGAAAGGAAUGCGUUCAGACUGGAUCAGCAGAGCGCGGCACUUGAGCAGCACUACGCCCCCGAGCACGGCAGAUAACACCGCUGUCCAGUAAUGACCCCCAGGGAAGGCCCGCGAACCCCGUCCCCACGCACCCAGCCCAGACGGGACGCCGGGGACCUCUCCCCUCAGGACGAGGAGCGGGCAGGAUCCAGAAACCUUUCUAAAAUUCCUCUGACCUGAGAGCAAUCCAGCUCUGUAAUUGAAGACCACAUCCUAGAAGCAAGAAGACACAUCUGAAAGAAGAGGAUUUUAUACAUUUCCUGGACUUCUGCAGCUACACCUUCACAUCCCUGUGAGCAGUUGUUUUGCAUCUGUGUCCGAGCACCAGAGAGGCUGCUUAGAUAGUGUGUUGUAUUUACAAGCCAUUUUAUGGUGGAUUCCAACAGAUUAAGACAGAGACAUUUCUGGAAGGAUGUCUGCAAGCUCUGCACUAUUCCACCCGUGCCAUGUUGCAUUUGUUUCACUGCAAAACAUGAUGUAGUUGUGUCUGGUGCUCACUGAGAAGCUAUCAAUUACCCACCGGCCCAGGCUGUAAAACACAUCGUACAGGCAUCACAGCUGGUGAAUAUAAACCCUCCCACUGAGAUACAUCUGUCAUGAAGAACUCAUAUAUAAGUAUUUUGCUUAUUAUAGUUUUAGGUUUGGGGUUUGGUUUGGUUUCGUUAAAUAACAGUGAAGACAUGGAAAUAAGUUUUUAGCUGGUACAAUGGUGUGGAAGCUUUUUCAUUUUGCAUCAUGCAGGUUUUUAGCCAGUAGCAGCAGGAUCUUAGAGGGGCCCCGAUGCAGCUUGCAGGAGCGCCAGCCACUCUUUGGAAGCACUCUGUUAAAAGAAGAUCAUUGCUUUAAGCAAACCUAUACUCUGAAUUAAGCACAACUUUUGAAGUGCCAUGUGAACUGUUAUGAUAAUAAAGCCAGAAUACAGAAAUUUGGCACCGGCUCGCUUGCCCUCACAGGCACCCAUAUUGUCUCUCUGGAGGAAUAAUUUUCAUUCUGAGACCUUGUGUUCACAGAAAAGCAGGUCACAGUGAUUAGCUUUCUUCAGCUUUAUUGCAUAUGAUACCAUAAAGAAAAAAAAAGAAGCACCUACACGUUUGGACUGACACUGCUGAUGUAUUUAGACACACAAUGCACAAAGUAAUUCUUUUUAAAAAAAAAGUUUGUUUACUCUUCUGGCCCCGUUUGGAUUAAAACUCCAAGCUGAGCUGAGGAGGCAGCAGGACAGGAAAGCACAAGCCUGCUCCUGCCACCACCUCGCACUGCUCCGCCUCUGCCGUCGGGUUCCAGCUCCUCCACACCAGGGCAGUGGCUGCUCUGCACAGCAAUGACACAAAGGAGCAAGAGUUUUCGGGCACUUACAGAGAGCUGCUCCCUCAGCCUGGGGAGCUAACACCUUAGUGAGCAGAAGGAAACGGGCUCCAUACCAGCAGCGGUCUCUGCUAUUGCAAAGCCAGUCCUGGCACCGGUAAUGCCAGCCUUCCAUUCCUUGCCCGUCUGCCCACCGUAAUCUUACCUUUCUUGCCAUGCCGAGGUCUGUGAAAGUGCUGGGUUGUUCACAAUUUCUAGAUGCAUAAGAGUAAUAAUUGAAAAUUUUGCCACUGAAACCACUUUAAACAACCCCUUUUAGAGGAAGGCAAUGGUCAUCAUGAUUUUGUUUAUAAUUUAAGGCUCUUUUUCUGUAGAAAAAUUAGCUGUAGAAGAAAAAAAAGCCAUUUUCAUACUGAUAGCCCAGCUUCUGGAUUCUUAAUAUUAAAUUUCCACCAUUAGCAAAAUGGGGAACCUUACUUUUCUUAUAAACAACUCACAAGACAUUACAAAUGUCAUAAAAGAAACUUCACAGGCCUUAAACUGUACACGGCUCAUAAAAACAGUGCCACAACACUAGUCAGAAUGCUGUUCCCCACGCAGUUCUUUCUUGCGCACAGCAGUGCAGUGCUGUCCCAAAAUAUAACACUGCCAAAAAGUUUGCUGCACCUCUCUUCCUGUUGGAGAUCAAUUUUUGCAGCAGCAUACUGAGUGCCAUUUUGCGCUACUUAUAUUGUAGGGGGACUUUCAAAGAAAGCUUUGCUAAAAAGAUGGUUUGCUUUGGGCAUGAGUAUUUUUAGUGGUUCAGUGGCUCAGCUUCCUGAGACACUACACGCCAUGAUUUCAGACUAAAACUCCCGUUUCUAUAUUUUUAUGAAGUGUCUGUAUUUUCAGCGCAGCAUACUUGACAAAUUGCAACAAAAGAAUGACUCACACUACUCUUGAAAGUACAAUGACACUGUUUGCAAAAGCAUUUCAGUUCUGUCCCCCUCUCAGCUCUCCCGGUAACAAACUGAAAUGCCCACCCUUGGCUGUGAAUUUCCCAUUCAGCACAACGCACAUGCAGAACCUGCAGGCCGCCUCGUGCGCUUUUUUUCUAACUUGUACAGACCCAGAGCAAUUUCAAGUGCAAUUAUUUCAAACAGACACUAAUGCAUUUCAAUUUGCACUUUGUUUUACAGGCUGGUUUGUCUUCAGAAAUUUAAUAGUGGAAAUUUAUACAGCACCCAUGGUUAUAGACAAAUAACAUUAAUGACUGCUAGGGUUACACUGGGCCAACAUAUGUAAAAGAAAUUUAAUUUAAAUUGCACUCCAACCUGAAUGCCAUAGGAUUAAUUUGAAUUGCAAAACUCAGCGAACUCCUUAUUAAGUAGUCAUUAAGGCUAUAUGAAAAGAUUUGCAAAAGGAAGAAACGCUACACACAAAUAGAGGUGAUGAUUUGAAAAGAAAAAAUGAAACCCACAACAAAAAGGUAUAAAAAUUUGUAUUUAUAUUCUGACAAAAUAACGAUACAACACAAUACUCCAUGCGCUACAGAACAUAGCGAGCACCACACAGGUUUGCACGCAGAACCUUUACAGUGUGGAAUGUCAGAAAAGAAGGGGACAGACUGUUCAGCAGGGUCUGUGGUGAUAGAACAAGGGGAAACGGCUUCAGGCUUACAGAGGGGAGAUUUAUGUUAGAUAUAAGGAAAAAGCCUUUUACAGUGAGGGUGGUGAGGCACUGGCACAGGUUGCCCAGAGAUGUGAUUGAUGCUGUGUCCCCGGAGACUUUCAAGGAGAGGCUGGACCAGGCCCUGGGCAGCCUGAUCUAUCUGUGCAUGUCCCUGUUCGCUGUGGGGGACUAGAUGGCCUUCAGAAGUCCCUUCCAUCUCUAAGGAUUCUAUGAUUCUAUGAUUCUAAGUGGGUUUUCCUCCACUGCAGUCUUUUACUGGGAUUUAUACUAGUUGAGAUAGAAAGAAGAGCCAUGAUGACUGAAUUCUCACAUAUUCUAUUCAGUAUUUCCCCUCCAUUGUAAUUCUAGGUAGUAGCGUAACACUUGGGCAUUUCUUUGGCAGCUGCCAAUUAACAGUACUACAUGUAGUUGGUCACUUUAGCAAUUUGACUCAUUUUGUCACUGGUAAAACUUCAUUUGAUUUCUGUUGUGUUCGCCCCAUUCAUACUUGUGGGGAGUACAGAUCUUCUUUAAGAGCAUCGAAAGGGAUUCAGUUCUUCCGCCAGCGCUGGGACAUGCAAGUUAUUGGACAAAACAUCAACCCUGCUCUUGGCUCUUAUCACAUACAAGACCAACGGCCUGCAGCAGUAAAACAAAUUAACAGCUUUCUGAGAGUAAUCUGUUGUGCAGACAUUCCUUUAUCUAUGCCAUCAUAAAAUGAAGUGUGUAAAAUUACUAUUCUUAGGUUAAAAGCUGUGACGUUUGUUUCCACAGUGCUGAUCUGCAAGGACAAAACCACUCACAGAUAGUCGCCGUUAAGCUAGGAAGGUGCCAACACGGUGCAAUAAUCACCUCUCCGGGGAGCGGGGCCUGCAGUCAAGGCCUCCAAGAAAAGCAGAAUGCCGUCCUGGGGCACCACGCAGAGCACCGCUGCCACCCGGGCUGGCACACAGCUCUGCAUCCUCCUGUUCCAGUUCUGUGCUUUUGGCAUUCAAUUCACUGAAACUGGCCACACGUGAUGUACGAUGUUACACUAAGAGAGUAGUUUUCAUGAUAGAAACUCAUCUACAAACACCAGAUGAAAAACUCUGUCCUUCUCAUGGAUUUCUGGGGACUUUUUAUGCCUGUGGUAUUCUGAUGAAACUCACUCUGAGCCGAGUUUGAUUGAAAAAGCCCACAGGAUUCGGUCCCCAGGUAACAACAUGCCGCAGCUUCCACUAGUCAAACCCCACUCUUUUGAGGAAGAUAAAUAAGCCAGCCUCCAUGGGAUAGAAGUUAGGCAGAGCCGGGAUGGGAGUGAAGGCGUAUUCAUCCUCCUAAUCGCAGCUGCGGAUCUGCAGGAAAGCUAACCGUUUGGGGUCGGAUUUAUGCCUCUCCCCCGUGACCGCACAGACGGCGCUCACAGCGCUGCCCCGGCAGCCGGGGAAGGGCCAUCCCCGCGGCCAGGCCUCCGCGCCCCGCAGAAAGCACCUCGCCACGGCUUCCUCGCUCGAGCCCUGCCCGCGGCGGAACGGCCCGGCAGCCGUCGUCUGCUCUCUGCUCGUUCCUUCCCCGUGUGGUAAUGCAGGGGAAAAAAGAUGAACUUAGAAGCGGGACCUCGCCUGGCCUGCCAAAAGCACGGUCGUGACACAGGACGGCAGAACUACCAGCGCAGUCGUAGUGUUUAAUCUCGGAGCAAGCAGCAUUUGUUUCCACGAACGCCGUGGUUACAGGUAGUUGUGCACGCACACCAAUGCAUGCAUGCAAGCACACACACGAAGCACGCACACGGGGAUUCAGCUUGAAAAUGAGCAAAACCAGGACGUGACGUCCGUCCCUCGGUGACACGUCCUGCGGUGCCACUGCCACGGACGCAGCGCAGCGAGAAGCGCUGUGGAAGGAACCUGCGAGCUGAACGGCAGCAGCGGUGCCGCGCACACCAGCCAGCAAGCCCAGCACCCGGGGAAGCUGUGGGGCUGCUUCCAGCCGCUGUCCUGCA